GCACCUGUAGCUCAGCUGGAUAGAGCACAGACCUCCGACGUCUGGUGCCGAUGGUUCGAAUCCAUUCAGGUGCACCA
rnacentral:tRNA from 1 species